AUGCGCGAAAGAGGUUUACACGAAUGCCCUAUACAACUUAGAGGUAAUGGGGAGGGUUCAGUGAUGAGGCUUGUUCGGAUGCUUGAGAUGAGGCUUGUUCGGAUGCUUGAGAUGAGGCUUGUUCCAAUGCUUGACAUGAGGCUUGUUCAGAUGCUUGAGAUGAGGCUUGUUCCAAUGCUUGACAUGAGGCUUGUUCAGAUGCUUGAGAUGAGGCUUGUUCCGAUUCUUGACAUGAGGCUUGUUCAGAUGCUUGAGAUGAGCUUGUUCAGAUACUUGAGAUGAGGCUUGUUCCGAUGCUUGACAUGAGGCUUGUUCAGAUGUGGAGUAUGUGUAGUUCCUUGAGAUGAGACUUGUGCGGAGUGCAUCCCAUGUGAAAUUACUCCAUAUGUGUAAUACUCCAUUUUGUGAGGCUUGUAUGUGUAACUCCAU
rnacentral:rRNA from 1 species